AUGAGAAAGGAGAAAGGAGAAAGGAAGAGAAACAAAGAGAAAGGAAGAGCAACGACCCAAUCGAGGGCCACUCGCAGCUAACGUCGCGUGAAUUGACACACGCGGUAGACAUCCUGGUGCAGCUGUCCGACUGGUGCAUGGAAUAGGCUCUUGAUGAAUUUUCGUUGCGAGUUGGGUCACGAAAUGUCUAACAUGACAAAUAUCAUUGUUGGUAUAUCAUUUUCAACACUCUGUUUUCAAGUUGCCUUUUUUUUUCUAUAGUAAUGGUAGUUUAAUUGGAUCCACAUAGAUGCUGAUGGCAACUAGCUAGAGCGAUGGAGAGGACUUUUCAAAUGGUGUUUCUGGGACAGUUUCCCUUUCCUUUUCUGGCCAGUUAAUGAACUUGGAUGUGUGACUUCAAGUCUUCAACCAACUAUGGCAGAUUCCUUUCCAAGUAUAUGUAAAAUAAUGAAG
rnacentral:lncRNA from 1 species